GACGAACGCUGGCGGCGUGCCUAAUACAUGCAAGUCGAGCGCAGGAAGUCGACGGAACCCUUCGGGGGGAAGUCGACGGAAUGAGCGGCGGACGGGUGAGUAACACGUAAAGAACCUGCCCUCAGGUCUGGGAUAACCACGAGAAAUCGGGGCUAAUACCGGAUGGGUCAUCGGACCGCAUGGUCCGAGGAUGAAAGGCGCUCCGGCGUCGCCUGGGGAUGGCUUUGCGGUGCAUUAGCUAGUUGGUGGGGUAAUGGCCACCAAGGCGACGAUGCAUAGCCGACCUGAGAGGGUGAUCGGCCACACUGGGACUGAGACACGGCCCAGACUCCUACGGGAGGCAGCAGUAGGGAAUCUUCCACAAUGGACGAAAGUCUGAUGGAGCAACGCCGCGUGAACGAUGAAGGCCUUCGGGUCGUAAAGUUCUGUUGUAAGGGAAGAACAAGUGCCGCAGGCAAUGGCGGCACCUUGACGGUACCUUGCGAGAAAGCCACGGCUAACUACGUGCCAGCCGCCGCCGUAAGAC
rnacentral:rRNA from 1 species